rnacentral:rRNA from 1 species
UGGGGAAUUUUGCGCAAUGGACGAAAGUCUGACGCAGCGACGCCGCGUGGGUGAUGAAGGCCUUCGGGUUGUAAAGCCCUGUGGGGAGGGAAGAAUAAGGUGUGGCUAAUAACCGCACCGAUGACGGUACCUCCUUAGCAAGCACCGGCUAACUCUGUGCCAGCAGCCGCGGUAAGACAGAGGGUGCGAACGUUGUUCGGAAUUACUGGGCGUAAAGCGCGUGUAGGCGGCCACAUAAGUCGGGUGUGAAAGCCCUCGGCUCAACCGAGGAAGUGCAUUCGAAACUGCGUGGCUUGAGUCCCGGAGAGGAUAGUGGAAUUCUCGGUGUAGAGGUGAAAUUCGUAGAUAUCGAGAGGAACACCGGUGGCGAAGGCGGCUAUCUGGACGGUGACUGACGCUGAGACGCGAAAGCAUGGGGAGCAAACAGG